rnacentral:rRNA from 1 species
UACGAAGGGGGCUAGCGUUGCUCGGAAUCACUGGGCGUAAAGGGUGCGUAGGCGGGUCUUUAAGUCAGGGGUGAAAUCCUGGAGCUCAACUCCAGAACUGCCUUUGAUACUGAAGAUCUUGAGUUCGGGAGAGGUGAGUGGAACUGCGAGUGUAGAGGUGAAAUUCGUAGAUAUUCGCAAGAACACCAGUGGCGAAGGCGGCUCACUGGCCCGAUACUGACGCUGAGGCACGAAAGCGUGGGGACCAAACAGG